UGGACUAGUAACCAGCAGGUAGCCUAGUGGUUAGAGCGUUGGACUAGUAACCAGCAGGUAGCCUAGUGGUUAGAGCGUUGGACUAGUAACCAGCAGGUAGCCUAGUGGUUAGAGCGUUGGACUAGUAACCAGCAGGUAGCCUAGUGGUUAGAGCGUUGGACUAGUAACCAGCAGGUAGCCUAGUGGUUAGAGCGUUGGACUAGUAACCAGCAGGUAGCCUAGUGGUUAGAGCGUUGGACUAGUAACCAGCAGGUAGCCUAGUGGUUAGAGCGUUGGACUAGUAACCAGCAGGUAGCCUAGUGGUUAGAGCGUUGGACUAGUAACCAGCAGGUAGCCUAGUGGUUAGAGCGUUGGACUAGUAACCAGCAGGUAGCCUAGUGGUUAGAGCGUUGGGCCGGUAACCAGCAGGUAGCCUAAUGGUUAGAGCAUUGGACUAGUAACCGGAAGGUUGCAAGUUCAAACCCCCGAGCUGACAAGGUACAAAUCUG
ensembl:lncRNA